CCGUUCUGGGCUUCUGGCUGCAUUCUAGGAAGAUCAUUCCUUAAAAGAAAUAGCCAUAUGGCUUAUAAGGUGCUAAAAGGAUAAUACCAAGGAAAACUAUGGGUGGGGGCAGUGAAUGGCCAGCAUGCCUAUAAUCCCAGCACUUGAAGCCAGGAGUUCGAGACCAGCCUGGGAAACAAAGCAAGACCCUGUGUCUAAAAAAAUUUUUUUAAAAAUAAGCUGGGCAUGGUGGCACGUGCCUAUAGUCCCAGCUACUCAGCUACUCGGGAGACCAAGACAUGGAAUAAACUUGACAAGUGCUAAAGAUGCUCUUUGAUUUUUGUGUGGCAUGAGACCUCAGGCUGAAACUUCUCAUCUGAGCCAUUGAAGGGAGCCUCUCAUCUCUCCACCGAGAGGGGAGACCAGAAUGGCUCCUUCAGGCACAUUCUGUUGGGCUUCCCUCUACCUCCCCACUCUGCUGCUUCCCCGCUCUUUUUGAAUUUCUCCCUGUUGAGGAGAGGGAAGACCAGCUAGGAGCUCUGUUUCUGGCAGGAAUCUGACACCACUUACUCCUUGGGUAGAAACUCCCCCAAGUCUGAACUAUGUGAUUGCCUGAGCCCUGCUUCUUGUUCAUUAAGACUGCUCCUCUGAAACGGAAUUGAUGAAUUUUUAGUGGCUAUUAGAAGCAUUUGGGAUCCAUAGGCA
rnacentral:lncRNA from 1 species